rnacentral:sRNA from 2 species
UUGCCGCAAGGCCUCCCGGGUAACCUACCACCCUUUGUUUAUUACACUUUGUUGCUUUGGCAAGCCUGCCCUCGGGCUGCUGGCUCCGGCCGGCGAGCGCUUGCCAGAGGACCUAAACUCUGUUUGUCUAUACUGUCUGAGUACUAUAUAAUAGUUAAAACUUUCAACAACGGAUCUCUUGGUUCUGGCAUCGAUGAAGAACGCAGCGAAAUGCGAUAAGUAAUGUGAAUUGCAGAAUUCAGUGAAUCAUCGAAUCUUUGAACGCACAUUGCGCCCCCUGGUAUUCCGGGGGGCAUGCCUGUCCGAGCGUCAUUACAACCCUCAAGCUCAGCUUGGUGUUGGGCCCCGCCGCCCCGGCGGGCCCUAAAGUCAGUGGCGGUGCCGUCCGGCUCCGAGCGUAGUAAUUCUUCUCGCUCUGGAGGUCCGGUCGUGUGCUCGCCAGCAACCCCCAAUUUUUUUCAGGUUGACCUCGGAUCAGGUAGGGAUACCCGCUGAACUUAA